rnacentral:rRNA from 1 species
CAGUCGCCGCGGUAAUACGAAGGGGGCUAGCGUUGUUCGGAAUUACUGGGCGUAAAGCGCACGUAGGCGGCUUUGUAAGUUAGAGGUGAAAGCCUGGAGCUUAACUCCAGAAUUGCCUUUAAGACUGCAUCGCUUGAAUCCGAGAGAGGUGAGUGGAAUUCCGAGUGUAGAGGUGAAAUUCGUAGAUAUUCGGAAGAACACCAGUGGCGAAGGCGGCUCACUGGCUCGGUAUUGACGCUGAGGUGCGAAAGCGUGGGGAGCAAACAGGAUUAGAGACCCGCGUAGUCCCUGUCUCUUAUAC